UGGGGAAUUUUGGACAAUGGGCGAAAGCCUGAUCCAGCCAUGCCGCGUGCAGGAUGAAGGCCUUCGGGUUGUAGACUGCUUUUGUACGGAACGAAAAGACUCCUUCUAAUAAAGGGGGUCCAUGACGGUACCGUAAGAAUAAGCACCGGCUAACUACGUGCCAGCAGCCGCGGUAAUACGUAGGGUGCGAGCGUUAAUCGGAAUUACUGGGCGUAAAGCGUGCGCAGGCGGUUAUAUAAGACAGUUGUGAAAUCCCCGGGCUCAACCUGGGAACUGCAUCUGUGACUGUAUAGCUAGAGUACGGUAGAGGGGGAUGGAAUUCCGCGUGUAGCAGUGAAAUGCGUAGAUAUGCGGAGGAACACCGAUGGCGAAGGCAGCCCCCUGGGUCAAGAUUGACGCUCAUGCACGAAAGCGUGGGGAGCAAACA
rnacentral:rRNA from 1 species